rnacentral:lncRNA from 12 species
CUCCCCUUUGUAUUUUAAGACCGCUCCCUUCCCUUCUUCCCCUCAAUUAAAAAUUCCCUUCAAUUAAAAGUCCUGGAGGGUUCCUCGCCCUAGAGCUCAGGAGAGAGAAGAUACCCCGGGGGUCACCGGGGGACGCGUCUACCAGCCCACCCAAGGGGCUGGGCCCGGAGCCCUCACUCCCCGGGAGGCGGAGGAAACCCACUGGCCAAUCGCCACCACCGAGGCCCAGAUCUGCUCUCUGAUUGGCUCUAGCGGUGACGCCCCCUCCGAAUUCCUGGCUCUGAUUGGUCUAUUUCCUGACUCCGACCGGGACGGUGGCCAGAGGACAAGAGGCUUCCAGACAGACGGAGGGAUGCUUUGGGGGACGUCGGAGACGCGACCAACAGCCGGCGACAAACAGCCGGACUCCGCUGCUGCCGCCGCCGAGUAAUCCUGGCACUUGACUACUCUAUGGAAACAACUUGUCAUGCCUGCAUUGUGGAAGCGGUGUUCACAAUGAAAUGCACAACAUACAAGCUGAAGCAGCACUCAUAGUUGUUGGUGUUUCAGGGAGAACAUUCGUUAUGUUAAAUACAAGAUUCUUUGUUGGGUUGCUUUCUGCCUUAAUGUCAAUCGAUACAUUGGAAGUUAUCGAGAAGUUCAAAUUCUGAUGAAGAAGGAAGAAUUGACCCUUGAAAUGGUUGAUAUUUUAUAAUAUUUUAAUAAAAGGGUGGUGACAGAAAGAGACAUUAUCAAGAAGGAAUUUGGAUAAGGCACAAACCAAAUUUUGAUUACUACCGACUUACUGUCCCUGGUGUUUACAUCUGUCCCAGGUUGACAACUGCUUCCGGAUGGCCCUCUUGGAAUUGGCAGUGGAGGUCAAUUUGGGAGGAAAUCUGUGGCCAUAAACAUUAAAGAAGACAAGUGGACAAGUGGAUUCUUGGUGACAUUGA